CAGUAGCCGCGGUAACACGUAGGGUGCGAGCGUUAAUCGGAAUUACUGGGCGUAAAGCGUGCGCAGGCGGUUGUGUAAGACAGGUGUGAAAUCCCCGGGCUUAACCUGGGAACUGCGCUCGUGACUGCACAGCUAGAGUAUGGCAGAGGGGGGUGGAAUUCCACGUGUAGCAGUGAAAUGCGUAGAGAUGUGGAGGAACACCGAUGGCGAAGGCAGCCCCCUGGGCCAAUACUGACGCUCAUGCACGAAAGCGUGGGGAGCAAACAGGAUUAGAUACCCCUGUAGUCCCUGUCUCUUAUAC
rnacentral:rRNA from 1 species